UCUCGUUCAGUUCCCACUCCCAUCUCUUCUCUUUCUCGCCGACGCAGAGGUUGCGCCGCCACCAUCAUCGCUCGGCCCCUUCCUCUCGAUCUAGCCAAUCUUCUCUCCCCUGCACAUCUGUUCGUCCCCUCUCGAAACCUCCCGUCCAAGCGACCUGGAGGAAACAGCCGCCCUGACAGCGCCGCCGCUGAAGGAACCUCAAGGAGCGCCGCUCCCCCUUAUCUCGCUCUCUCCACACCUAGCCAGGUGGGGACUCAAUAAUAUGAGAGGAUGAGGACUGGAGAAUGGGAAGAAGAGUCGAUCUAGAACAGGGUUGGAUGCCAUGGUCUGUUCGAUCUGGAAUCGUAGGACGAGAGGAUGGGGACUUCUACAGUUUAAUCUUUUGCUACUUGGAGGCGAGCAGAGGGAAGGCAUCCUAUUUUAUGGUUCAGAGGACUCGUGUUAUGUACUUUAUUGUCAUGCAACUGCUUCUGGUUUACAUCUCGCUAAUUGGAGGCAAAGAUGCCUAUGGACAACUGACUUCUUCUAUAGUUAUGCUCAAUCAACGGAUGCUCCGAAGCUCUGCUUUCAAGAUUUCAGGAGACCGAUCAGCUAGAAGACUAUCAACUCAAUAUGUGUCUGUAUGAUUUACACCGAAAAAUGACCAGAACUAUCAACUACGAAAAAGGAUUCAUUCUAACAUCUCAGGUACAUCCUUGCCUUUAGGUUGCCCAUGAUACGGUGUAACUCCGAUAAGGGAAACUGCUACUUUUGACAAAAUAAAUAAAUAGGUGCCAUAAUAUCAGUGUAUUGUUAGCCAAAAAAAUCAAUCUUGAGCUUAUAAUUUCUAGAUAUUUACAAAUUCAAUUUGUGUAACACUUAGUGGGAGGCACCAAUGAUAAACCUGGUCAUUGCGGGACUUCAACUUAGCUAAAAUUUAGGACAAAGGGCUAGGUGAUGCUACCUGUUGGUGUUGAAUGCUUGAGGCAUCCUCCUUCUGCUGUGGUGAUGCAUAGUGCAUUUUGAUUUUAUAAUGUUCCUUUUACACUGAUCUUCUAAAGUUAAACAUGUAAAUGCAGACAUGAAGUGUUUUUAUGAGAGCAGUACAACAACAAGCAUUUUUAGGUGGUUUACAAACUUCUGUAAGAUGUUCCCUUUUGUGGUGUUCAAGUUGUAAAGCAAAAUCAAUAUCUUUUGCUGGCUCAUCUUUUUUAAUUUAUUCUUUCAGAAAGAGAUAAGAUUUUUUUUUCACUUUUCAUAUUAUAAACCUAAUUAUGUCUCUUAGUUUUUGUAAAAUUUAUCAAUAACUAUCCCUGCUAAUCUUACAAUGUCACAGAAAUGAACAUUUAGUUGGAUAGAUUAUGUAAAUUACAUGAUAAUAAACAAGAGCCAUACUGAUAUAAUUGAGAUUAUGCAUUGCAGGUUUUUCUCCUAAUAUAGUGAACAUUAAUCUAACAUUUCUCAAGAUGGGUCAAAUCAGUUCAUGAGCAAGGACCAAGGUUUACAAAACGAUCAGUUGAUAAAACUGCCAAUGAGAUGUCAAUGCAGUAAAAUGAAGAAUAAUCGGCUUAUGAUGGGCAAGAACAAUUAGCAGCCAUCAAGACCAAAUAAGAAAAACCAAGAUCAAACAAGUUGGUGUGUGUGUUUCCGAUUUCAGUGCUAAGGGAGAUUGUUUAAGGCUGAUUGUACAACGUCUUUAGAGCUCUCUUUUUACCUUACAAUAUGAUGUUGUAGCCAAAACUCCUAGCAGAUUAGAAUCAGAUUAGUGACUGAUCUUACAAGUACAGUACACACAUUACACUACCGUGCUCUGUUUUGCUAAUGCAAUAUAUUCAGUUCGUUGUCCUUAAAUUGUAAGCAACUUAUUUCGUAUUUAACAGAUACAUUGCGUGUCAUCAUAUAUUUGGCGCGCAACACUUGUCUGCCCCUGUCAUUUCCUGCUCUGGUUCAUUAUUCUUUCACAAAGUGCAGAGUUCACUUACUGUAACUAUGCCCUUUUCACCUCUUUUUUAUAAAAAGAAGGAUAUGUACUUAAACUUGUAAUUAUGCU